GGCGAUAGAAAAUCAGUCGAGUGAGCAUCUCCGACACGGAAACAACUGCAGCGCACUCACCAUCUGCCUUCUUCACCGUAUUGCCAGUUCGCAAUCAUGGUUAACUAAGGCGUCGUAUGCUGUUGGAUGUUGUAUCGACCACUGGUGUACCGAUGUCUCCUGGGGUAUGGCGGAUGCCAAACCGCAACGCUGCCGCCUUACUACACAACAACAACAUACGCAACAACCGGUUCCUAGACCACCGAGGUUCCAGAGCAUUACACCACAAUUGAUGAUGCCCCGAGCUGCUACACCGAAGCCCGAAGUACAACUCUACCCCGAGUUACAUCCUUAGAGAGCCGGACUACUACACCGAUUUUCUAAAGUACUACAUCACUAAGGCACCGGAAUACUACUCUUCUAUGUAUGCUGCCCCUGCCUACUACACUGAGGCCCAGGCCCCGCAUUACUACAACACCGAAGCGCUCAAGUACUAUACACUACAACCUACGCUGCCCCGAGCUACUACACUUACGUCCCGAAGUAUUACUGUGCGUAAAAGGAGCCGUCUACAAAGAUGGAGUCGUGCCCGAACUGCUGUGCCCUAUCUGUCGCCAACUGCAUCCCUCAUCGUGUAACCGAUUCUUCAUUCUGGAUAACUAUGGCGUCGUGCUCCUGAUGGGUGUUGUAUCGUUGAUGGCUGGGUCGACCACUGGUGUACCGAUAUCUCCUGGGCAUGGCGGAAGCCAAACCGCAACGCUGCCGCCUUACUACACAACAACAACAUACGCAACAACCGGUUCCUACACCACCAAGGCUCCAGAGUAUUACACCACAAUUGAUGAUGCCCCGAGCUGCUACACCGAAUCCCCGAAUAUAACUCUGCCCUGAGUUACAUCACCAGAGAGGUGGAUUACUACACCGAGGCUCCCAAGUACUACAUCACUAAAGCACCGGAGUUUUAUACCACAACUUUCGCUGCCCCGAGUCACUACACUGACGCCCUGAAGUAUUACUCUGCCCCGAGUUACUACACCACCAAGGCGACGGAGUACUACACGACUACGUAUGCUGCCCCUGCCUACUACACCGAGGCCCCGCAUUACUACAACACCGGAGCGUUCAAGUACUACACUACAACCUGCGCUGCCCCGAGCUAUUACACCUACGUCCCGAAUUAUAACUGUGCGUAAAGGAGUCGUCAAAAAAAGAAGUCGUGCCCAAACUGCAGUGCAUUAUCUGUCACCAACUGCAUUCCUCCAACCAUUCGCAAUUAUGGGCGUCGUAUGCUGUUGGGUGUUGUAUCGUUGAUAGGUGGGUCGACCACUGGUGUACCGAUGUCUCCUGGGCAUGGCGCAAACCAAUCCGCAACGCCACCGCCUUCCUACACAACUUACGCAACGACCGGUUCCUGCACUGAGGUCUUCCAGUACUACACCACUGAAGCACCGGAGUUUUAUACCACAACUUACGCUGUCCCGAGCCACUACACUGACGCCCUGAAGUAUAACUCUGCCCCGAGUUACUACACCAUCUAGGCGACGGAGUACUACAUGACUACGUAUGCUGCUGCCUAUCCUACUACACCCAGGCUCCUAAGUUCCCGCUUAUUACUCCACCAAAACAGCCGAGUACUACACCGAAGUACUACUCUACCCCAAUCUACACAACGCAGUCCCGACUUGCUACACAAAAGCUGCUCUUUCGUGCUACGUCGAAGUGAAACACUACACUGAUGCUCCAGUCUACUACACCACGACCUACGCUACACCUAGCUACAACACCGCAGCCCCAAGUACUACACCGAAGAAGCUGCCUAUUACACAACCACGUACGCUGCCUGGUAUAACACAUCGAGGAAUUUAAGUAUUACCCUGCUUCAAACUACUACCAUCUGAGGUUCAUAUGUAUUAAACCAGCAAUUCUCCCGACUAUGUCACCACUACUCAUGUUGCUCAUACCUAUACAUCGAAGUUCUGAAAUAUUUCUCUGGUUGUGUUGAAAGAUUGCUGAAAUACAAGUUUGAUUGAUAAAUCACAAGUGCAUGUCUAUUUUCUCCUCAAGUACCUUUCCUCUUGCUGAUAAUUUCGUGAUGUGAGAAACUAUUUCUGAGUGCUAUGUAAACUUACAAAUAAUUGUUCCUGUAAAAUACAUCAAUAAAAAUUCAAACUCA